rnacentral:rRNA from 1 species
UACGUAGGGUGCGAGCGUUAAUCGGAAUUACUGGGCGUAAAGCGUGCGCAGGCGGUUGUGCAAGACAGGUGUGAAAUCCCCGGGCUUAACCUGGGAACUGCACUUGUGACUGCACGGCUAGAGUACGGUAGAGGGGGAUGGAAUUCCGCGUGUAGCAGUGAAAUGCGUAGAUAUGCGGAGGAACACCAAUGGCGAAGGCAAUCCCCUGGACCUGUACUGACGCUCAUGCACGAAAGCGUGGGGAGCAAACAGG